UUUGAAACACCGGCUUCCGUACGAUUACAGAUGUUAAGCAACAUCGAGCCUCGUCAGUAGUAAUGAGUGACCGCUUGGGAAUACCAGGUACUGUA